GAUGAACGCUGGCGGCGUGCCUAAUACAUGCAAGUCGAGCGAACGGACGAGAAGCUUGCUUCUCUGAUGUUAGCGGCGGACGGGUGAGUAACACGUGGAUAACCUACCUAUAAGACUGGGAUAACUUCGGGAAACCGGAGCUAAUACCGGAUAAUAUUUUGAACCGCAUGGUUCAAAAGUGAAAGACGGUCUUGCUGUCACUUAUAGAUGGAUCCGCGCUGCAUUAGCUAGUUGGUAAGUUAACGGCUUACCAAGGCAACGAUGCAUAGACGACCUGAGAGGGUGAUCGGCCACACUGGAACUGAGACACGGUCCAGACUCCUACGGGAGGCAGCAGUAGGGAAUCUUCCGCAAUGGGCGAAAGCCUGACGGAGCAACGCCGCGUGAGUGAUGAAGGUCUUCGGAUCGUAAAACUCUGUUAUUAGGGAAGAACAUAUGUGUAAGUAACUGUGCACAUCUUGACGGUACCUAAUCAGAAAGCCACGGCUAACUACGUG
rnacentral:rRNA from 1 species